rnacentral:tRNA from 1 species
GUUUUAAUAGUUUAAUAAAAACAUUAGUCUUGUAAACUAAAAAUAAAAACUUUUUUUUUAAAACU